rnacentral:rRNA from 1 species
UACGAAGGGGGCUAGCGUUGCUCGGAAUCACUGGGCGUAAAGGGUGCGUAGGCGGGUCUUUAAGUCAGGGGUGAAAUCCUGGAGCUCAACUCCAGAACUGCCUUCGAUACUGGCGAUCUUGAGUCCGGAAGAGGUGAGUGGAACUCCUAGUGUAGAGGUGGAAUUCGUAGAUAUUAGGAAGAACACCAGUGGCGAAGGCGGCUCACUGGUCCGGUACUGGACGCUGAGGUGGCGAAAGCGUGGGGAGCAAAC